rnacentral:lncRNA from 1 species
CCACUAAUAGUGCCUCUUCUCUGGGACUCAGUUUCCCCACCUGUUAAAAAGAAGAGGUUAAACCAUAACCAAGGGCACUUUCCAGGUUUAUUAGUGGAUUGAUGAUCAUGACUCAUGGAGAGGAGGGAGAUGAAUCAGAUGAGGGCCCGGCCUCAAAGAUCUCACAGUCUGGUCCCAUUAGCUCAAUCUUGUCAGGGUCCCUCCACGAGUGGCCUCCAACUCAUACAUGCUGUCCAGAGCCUGUCACCUCUCCUCCCAGGCUCAAGCAAUUCUCCUGCCUCAGCCUCCCGAGUAGCUGGGACUACAGGUGCGUGCCACCAUGCCCAGCUAAUUUUGUAUUUUUAGUAGAGAUGGGCGCCUGUAAUUCCAGCACUUUGGGAGGCCGAGGCAGGUGCAUCACCUGAGGUCAGGAGUUCAAGACCAGCCUGGCCAACAUGGCAAAACCCUGUCUCUACUAAAAAUACAAAAAAAAAAAAAAUUAGCUGGGCGUGGUGGCGAGUGCCUGUAAUUCCCGUCUUAAAUUUAAGACAUUAUUCAUUGACUUGCCAGUUAGAAAGAUCAAUAUUUAAUUAGCUCACAUUUUUUGUCUUCUCUACAUGUCCUUGGCAUUUUUGCUAUUUAAUAUUUUGUUUUUAACCUUUAAAUAAUGUACCUAAAACUGGUAUUUCUUGUUCCCUCAACUUGAAGCAGUGUCUCCUGAGUUCCUACGUGGUUAGCAGCACCCCAACUCUUCUUUUCCCCUCUCUUCCCUACUUCUACUUCUCAAGGCCAGUCAGCUAUACCUUUAAUUUUACAUUGUGAAAGUUGUUAAUAUUUAUAGUCUCUUCUGUAACUAUAUUUAAGUCUUUGUGAUUUGACUCUAGGUUGGUUCUAAAAAUUGAAACAAAAAAUAGCAUUUACGUGACAGUGACUUCAGUCUGUCUUCUUUCCUCCUUUGUCCUUCCCUGAAUU